CAGGGUGAGAAUAAACAUAUGGACAUGUGCCCAAUCGUGGGGGUAAAGCGCAGCAAACUCUGUCCUAAUCCCCGUAUGAUAUCUGGAGGUAAAACGCGGGAGUUGCGCAACCCCUUCGCGAAUAUGGAGCGCCCAUAGCACAUUUUUAGAUAGUUGGGUGGUGUAAAGUCUCCCCCACCCCUGUAUAUCUGUCUGUUGUCUGAGAGGGACCCCCCAGCCACUGGGGGGUGGGGGACGCGGCCCAGUCUCCUAUGGGAGGCAACAGUGGAGAAUUUUGGACAAUGGGAGAAAGCCUGAUCCAGCCAUGCCGCGUGCAGGAUAAAGGCCUUCGGGUUGAAAACUUUUUUUGUGGGAAAAAAAAGGCCUUUUUCUUAUAAAGAGGGCUAAUGACGGUACCGUAAGAAUAAGCACCGGCUAACUACGUGCCAGCAGCCGCGGUAAUACGUAGGGCGCAAGCGUUAAUCGGAAUUACUGGGCGUAAAGCGUGCGCAGGCGGUUAUGUAAGACAGUUGUGAUAUCCCCGGGCUCAACCUGGGAACUGCAUCUGUGACUGCAUAGCUAGGGUACGGUAGAGGGGGAUGGAAUUCCGCGUGUAGCAGUGAAAUGCGUAGAUAUGCGGAGGAACACCGAUGGCGAAGGCAAUCCCCUGGACCUGUACUGACGCUCAUGCACGAAAGCGUGGGGAGCAAACAAG
rnacentral:rRNA from 1 species